AGAUGGUAGGGUAUGCUGUAAAAUUGAUGACCAAUGACAUAGACCUCAGAUGAAUGGAUGAUACAGAGAAGUCUCCAAAGAGUUUUGAACUGAUGCAGAGUAAAACAAGCAGAGCCAAGAAAGCAAUACACAGUAACAACAACAAUGUAAAUGGAAAGAACAGUGACACACCAAGAUAUCAAAGUCAGUGUAACGGGACUUGAAUGAAGAGAUAUGAGAAGACACUUCCAACCUGGGUGGGAAAGAAGAGUGAAGAGAGAGAAGAGAGUGAAAACUAACCUUGGAGAGUGCAUCACAAAAUGGGAAAAAAAAAAGGGGGAAAUAUGAGACAAGGUUCACAGCUGAGAGAGUAGAGGAAGAGGGAGCCACUGGGAAGUCCGAAGAAAGAUGAAAAGAUUUGGAAAAGCCUCUGUGCCAUUACUCCUGACAUUGGCAAUGUAAGACACCUGACCAAAGCAUCUCUAAGCAAACAGUAAGAUGGGACCCCAGCUACCUCGACUAUAAUCCAAAGCCAGGUUAUCAUUUUCUAGGUCUCUAAUCACUUCCUUUCCCUUCCUAGCUUCUUCCUCCCACUUCUUCCUUGAAUCUUCUGCUAGCUCCCUUGCUUCCUCACCGUCACUCUCCUCCUUUAGGGUCACCUGCCCCCCCCAAAUGCCCCACUUCACCUUCUCUAG